rnacentral:rRNA from 1 species
GACGAAGGGGGCUAGCGUUGUUCGGAAUUACUGGGCGUAAAGCGCGCGUAGGCGGUUGCCCAAGUCGGGUGUGAAAGCCUUGAGCUCAACUCAAGAAAUGCACUCGGUACUGGGUGACUAGAGGACCGGAGAGGAUAGUGGAAUUCCCAGUGUAGUGGUGAAAUACGUAGAGAUUGGGAAGAACACCAGUGGCGAAGGCGGCUAUCUGGACGGUUUCUGACGCUAAGACGCGAAAGCGUGGGGAGCAAACAGG